rnacentral:misc_RNA from 1 species
GUUGGUGAACCAGCGGAGGGAUCAUUACAGAGUUGCAAAACUCCCUAAACCAUCGCGAACGUUACCCCAAACCGUUGCUUCGGCGGGCGGCCGCGGCUCACCCCCGCGGCCCCCGGGCCCCCUCAAGGGCGCCCGCCGGAGGCUCCAACUCUUGAAUUUAUGGCCUCUCUGAGUCUUCUGUACUGAAUAAGUCAAAACUUUCAACAACGGAUCUCUUGGUUCUGGCAUCGAUGAAGAACGCAGCAUCUGA